rnacentral:rRNA from 1 species
GACGAACGCUGGCGGCGUGCCUAAUACAUGCAAGUAGAACGCUGAAGGCGGAGCUUGCUCUUCUGGAUGAGUUGCGAACGGGUGAGUAACGCGUAGGUAACCUGCCUGGGAGCGGGGGAUAACUAUUGGAAACGAUAGCUAAUACCGCAUACGAGUAGCUGAUGCAUGACAUUUACUUAAAAGGUGCAAUUGCAUCACUACGAGCUGGACCUGCGUGCUAUUAGCUAGUUGGAGGGGUAACGGCUCACCAAGGCGUCGAUACAUAGCCGGCCUGCGAGGGGGACCGGCAACACUGGGACUGAGACACGGCACAGACUCCUACGGGAGGCAGCAGUGGGGAAUGUUGCCCACUGGGCGAACGCAUGAUGCAGCAACGCCGCGUGAGGGACGACGGCCUUCGGGUUGUAACCCGCUUUUAGCAGGGAAGAAGCGAAAGUGACGGUACCUGCAGAAAAAGCGCCGGCUAACUACGUG